CCUCACUGUUAUCAUUUCGGUGGGCCUCGAUGGAAUCACCAUUAAAGAAUGCAUCUCCUCUCCUGGCUUGUCAAACAUCCGCAUUGUUUCUCCAUCUCCCAAUGGUUUGUUGCCAAAUGUACUGAAGUUAGUAGAAGGGACGCUGGUGAAAGUCGUGGAUCCAGUUCUAAAUGCAAAUAUUUGUGACCUCCUGAAAUUGGCACUUUCUGGACCUGCUGCCUCCCUGCUUCUCCCUGAGUACUGAUUCCUUAUUGAUAUCACAAAUCCCAGAAGUGGCCGCUGUGUAGAACUUUGCAAGAAAAUCAAGUGCUCUGAAUGGUCAUUUCCCAUUUGUAUCACCUUUUGCUUCAACUUCUUCAGCUUUACCAAC